AUGGAAGGUACCCGUUCAGCGCUGGAGACCUCGCCGGCUGCAUCCCUGUCCUCUGCUGCUGCUGGAGAGAGCCCUACAGAGGUUCCACGGGAAGACCUGUGUUACCUCUUUGGUGAGACCAUGUACGGUGGCCACAUCACCGGUGCCUGGGACCACAAGCUCUGCUGUAUAUUUCUGCAAGAAUUCAUCAGCCCGCCUGUGACUUGA
rnacentral:lncRNA from 1 species